rnacentral:rRNA from 1 species
UACGGAGGGUGCGAGCGUUAAUCGGAAUUACUGGGCGUAAAGGGCGCGUAGGCGGUCUGUUAAGCCAGAUGUGAAAGCCCCGGGCUUAACCUGGGAACAGCAUUUGGAACUGGCAGACUUGAGUGCAGGAGAGGAAGGUAGAAUUCCAGGUGUAGCGGUGAAAUGCGUAGAGAUCUGGAGGAAUACCAGUGGCGAAGGCGGCCUUCUGGACUGACACUGACGCUGAGGCGCGAAAGCGUGGGUAGCAAACAGG